AUUUAUAUACUUCAGCAGCGGUGGCUUGGGCACUAGGGUUUGCUUGGGCUGAAGUAACAUAUUGCAGCAACCAAUCAAAACUGAAUCUCCAAGAAAUUGUUGCAAAAUUCAAACGUAAAGAUAGAAACCAAUCUCUUAACAAAGAUUGUUUCAACAAAUAACCACCCACAAAUCAAACCCUUCUGGUACAGCUACUUGAACCUCAAGUAACUACAAAAAUAUAUCUUCAUAAAAUCUUCAAGGGCCCUGUCGCAACCAGGAUUGCGGCGAGACGACGCUAAAAUAUUUAAAAAUUCAUAAGAGUCGCCACCAAUGUUUUUAAAGUGGGAAAACCUUAGAAAACCUAUAAAUUUAAGAUCUUCGCGAUCAGAGUUGGAUCCGGGAGUCAAUUACGCGUAGGGAAGGUAUUAGCACCCUACGACGUCUGUUUAUAAACAGUUACCUCUAAUUAAUUGUGUAAAAUUUAUUAGCUUUAAAACUAUUUGUUUCACCCUAAGAGAAUGAUUUCGAUAAAAAGAUUAGUUUAUAUUUUAUUAAGGAAAAAAAUAUUAUUUACAAAUUUGGCUUGGCGGUUGUUGAUGCCUGCUCCUACGUAUCCCCAAAGUGCGAUGGAGAAUUCAAAGCCACGUAGUACUUGGGGUUUAAAUAGGGUACCUGACGGGGAUCGCUCCCCGACCUACGUAUUCUCUUUAGAGAGACAUCAAGGCAACGUAGUUCUAAGGGAAAAGCUUGAAAAAGCUUGGCUUGAAAUGUUUGGAGAAAGCUUGAAGAAGCUUGAUUUCGAGAGGCUUAAAAAAGCCGAACUUGAUCUUGAGAGGCUUAAAGAAGCCAGAAUUUGAAAGGCUUGAAGAAGCCUCAGUUUGAUGUGAAAGCUUGGAGAACCUUGAUUAUGAGAGGUUUGAAGAAGCCGAAACUUGAAUUUUGAAAGGCUUGAAAAAGCCAAAGGGAAUUAAAAGAACAAUUUUGGGAGAUUUGAGAAGUUAUUAUAGAUAUAUUCUAGAACUUGAAAAUGAUAUUUUAAAUCUUUUAAUAAGAGAGUUUCUCGACAUUUGUUCAUUAUUAUUUAAGUAAUUUGAUACUAAUAGACUUUAUUCUACCAUUGAUUUAUGCGUAUUAUAUACUUAUGGAAUUUACCAUUUCGUAAUUUUAACAAAGUUACCAUUUUUAUAUAACCUAUUGAUUGCAUGAUUUGGAAGAGGGCAGCGCCGCUGCACAUCUUUAUUUUUAAUUAAUUCUUAUUUUAUUACUUACUUGUUUUAAUUAAUUAUCAUUUCAUUGAACAACCUAAAAUAAAAUAGAAGGCACCCUAGCCAAAAGAAUAGCUGCGCCGCUGCUUGCAUAUAGGUGAGAAGAAAACAGGGAAAAGAAAGGCCAUGGAGAAAGAGAGAGAGAGGAGAUGGAAAGAAAUAUAACGGACCAGAUUGGUGAAAGGAGAUGGAGUUUUUCACAUUUAAUUAUCACCUAAAUACGUUUAGAGAGCUUGAAAACAAGUAUGUUAUUAUUCCAAUGGAGCAAUGUUUCACGAACAGAAGCAUAUGCAUACUUGCCUGAUAAAUAUUCUCCAUAGAUUGAGUAAAGAGAUAAAGAUUAAACAAUUCACAAAUAGAAGCAUAGAAGCAUGAAAACAUUUGCGUAUUGUGCUAAACAAAUCUAGUAAAGGGACAAUGAUUAAACAUGUUCACAAAUAAUACUAUAGAAUCAUGAGAUAUUCACGUACUGUCUAAAAAAUCAAGUAAAUAAGGAUUACUUGCUUGAAGCACAAAAGAAACCUUCAUUUCCUUGAAUGUUUGUCUGGAUGAUACCUUUGUAGCGCCCUCAUUUGUGUCUUUUAUGUGGUGCAAUCAAAGUGUAUGUCCUACUCUCGAAAUUGAAUUGAAGCUCAAAAAUGGAACAUCAAUUCUCACAAGUGAUCACUCUUUUGGUUUUUCUCUCUGCCCCUCUAAACCUCAUUC
rnacentral:lncRNA from 1 species